CACAACUCCACGCAUGAACCCACCUGAGCUCACAUGAUAUGAGCUUUUUGAAAUCGUCAUCUCAUUACCGUUAUCAUUCUUAAUGUCACCGUUAACGCCGCCAGCAUGAUACAGAGCCGUAGCAACGGAAGAGUGGGGCUUUGUGGAGAGUAGCCUCUUGGUAAUGGCAAAGCGAAGUAGUGAAGAAAAUCCCAUUUUCCUCGGAUGC
rnacentral:misc_RNA from 1 species